GACGAACGCUGGCGGCGUGCUUAACACGUGCAAGUCGAGCGAUGAAGUUCCUUCGGGAAUGGAUUAGCGGCGGACGGGUGAGUAACACGUGGGUAACCUGCCUCAUAGAGGGGAAUAGCCUUCCGAAAGGAAGAUUAAUACCGCGUAAGAUUGUAGUACGGCAUGGUACAGCAAUUAAAGGAGUAAUCCGCUAUGAGAUGGACCCGCGUCGCAUUAGCUAGUUGGUGAGGUAACGGCUCACCAAGGCGACGAUGCGUAGCCGACCUGAGAGGGUGAUCGGCCACAUUGGGACUGAGACACGGCCCAGACUCCUACGGGAGGCAGCAGUGGGGAAUAUUGCACAAUGGGGGAAACCCUGAUGCAGCAACGCCGCGUGAGUGAUGACGGUCUUCGGACUGUAAAGCUCUGUCUUCAGGGACGAUAAUGACGGUACCUGAGGAGGAAGCCACGGCUAACUACGUGCCAGCCGCCGCAGUAA
rnacentral:rRNA from 1 species